rnacentral:sRNA from 2 species
AAAUUUAUGAACAGAGGGUGGGUGAGAACCACCGACGUGGUUCGAGUCGAAGAGAGCCUGCGAACGAAGACAACGUUGCGCGCUUUUUCGCAACGGCCCGAAGGGGAAUCAUCCACCCCCCACCACCA